AUUGAACGCUGGCGGCAGGCCUAACACAUGCAAGUCGAACGAGUGGCGGACGGGUGGGUAAUGUCUGGGAAACUGCCUGAUGGAGGGGGAUAACUACUGGAAACGGUAGCUAAUGCUGCAUACCAUCAGAUGUGCCCAGGUGGGAGUAGCUAGUUGGUGGGGUAACGGCUCACCAAGGCGACGAUCCCUAGCUGGCCUGAGAGGAUGACCAGCCACACUGGAACUGAGACACGGUCCAGACUCCUACGGGAGGCAGCAGUGGGGAAUAUUGCACAAUGGGCGCAAGCCUGAUGCAGCCAUGCCGCGUGAAUGAAGAAGGCCUUCGGGUUGUAAAGCACUUUCAGCGGGGAGGCGUUACCCGCAGAGGAAGCACCGGCUAACUCCGUGCCAGCCGCCGCGGUAAUAC
rnacentral:rRNA from 1 species